UAGUCUUAUGCUGUAAACGAUGUCGACUUGGAGGUUGUGCCCUGAGGCGUGGCUUCCGGAGCUAACGCGUUAAGUCGACCGCCUGGGGAGUACGGCCGCAAGGUUAAAACUCAAAUGAAUUGACGGGGGCCCGCACAAGCGGUGGAGCAUGUGGUUUAAUUCGAUGCAACGCGAAGAACCUUACCUACUCUUGACAUCCACGGAAUUCGCCAGAGAUGGCUUAGUGCCUUCGGGAACCGUGAGACAGGUGCUGCAUGGCUGUCGUCAGCUCGUGUUGUGAAAUGUUGGGUUAAGUCCCGCAACGAGCGCAACCCUUAUCCUUUGUUGCCAGCACGUAAUGGUGGGAACUCAAAGGAGACUGCCGGUGAUAAACCGGAGGAAGGUGGGGAUGACGUCAAGUCAUCAUGGCCCUUACGAGUAGGGCUACACACGUGCUACAAUGGCAUAUACAAAGAGAAGCGAACUCGCGAGAGCAAGCGGACCUCAUAAAGUAUGUCGUAGUCCGGAUUGGAGUCUGCAACUCGACUCCAUGAAGUCGGAAUCGCUAGUAAUCGUAGAUCAGAAUGCUACGGUGAAUACGUUCCCGGGCCUUGUACACACCGCCCGUCACACCAUGGGAGUGGGUUGCAAAAGAAGUAGGUAGCUUAAC
rnacentral:rRNA from 1 species